AGUAUGCAAGUAAAGUGCCUUUCUUCCCGGACCCUCUCCGCCGACAUUUAACAUCGUCUUCUACCGCCGGAUUGAUGAUACGGCCUAAUAAAAGAGACGUUCGACUACCACCGCCGCUAUAAACCGCUUUAGUCUCCCCCAGCCCCUCCGCGAGGCUAAUUAACCAGGAAAUUGUCGGAGCUUAUAUUAAAAUUACUGCAAUAUAAUUAAAUUUUCAAUAAAAAAUAUC